UACGUAGGGGGCUAGCGUUGUCCGGAAUCAUUGGGCGUAAAGAGCGCGUAGGCGGCCCGGUAAGUCCGCUGUAAAAGUCCAGGGCUCAACCCUGGAAAGCCGGUGGAUACUGUCGGGCUCGAGUCCGGAAGAGGCGAGUGGAAUUCCUGGUGUAGCGGUGGAAUGCGUAGAUAUCAGGAGGAACACCGGUGGCGAAGGCGGCCCUCUGGACGGAUACUGACGCUGAGGCACGAAGGUCAGGGGAGCAAACGGG
rnacentral:rRNA from 1 species